UUGUUUUAGAUGGAGAGUGCGUGCUUUGGAUUCAAGACUGGGAAUGAGGGGACCAGAAACCUAUUCUGUGGCUGUUUCUUGUUAGGACUUUCCUAAGCCUCUGGAAAAGUGCAAAGUACAAUUAACAUUUGAGUCUGUCUGAGUCAUGAAGAAAUGGAGAUUACUGAAAAUAAUUCAUUUUGGUAUCUUCUUACAUCCUGAGAGACUAAUCUUUCCAAGUUCAUCUGAGGCUCCUCUUCUCCAUGACAACCUCAUCCAGGGAUUUCUUCCUGUCCUGGUGUUUUAUGACAUAAUCACAUCCUUCCUGAGAUAAUGAGCACACAAUUGCCUGGAUACCUGAAGGAAUGGAGACAGCGGCAGAAAACACUGCAGAGAGGUGGAAACAUCCGUUAAUAUUUUAAAAUCCCAUUACUGCUACCAACAAUAAUAAUGGAUGCAUAGAAAUAGAUCUGGAUUAGCUGAGCUUGAAACAGUCCAUCUCACACACACACAAAAGAAUUUCAGAUACAGUGAACCCACAUGUUGAAGCUUUCUAGUAUAAUAAAAAUUUCAACUGUUCUGUUGAAUCAUCUGCCUGAUUGGAGGCUACAGAAAAGAUGUCAUCUUAGGAGUGCUUGCUCUGAGUGAGGCUCAUCUUCAAAUCUGAAUGACCACAAGGAGAUUUGAUUAUACAUGUGAACACCUCAGAAGGCACAGCCCACCCAGAAGGCAGACAGGUCAGGCUGCUUUUUCUUCAUUGCUUGGAUUCAAUCCUCCGGGCGGCUCAGGCUCAAACAUAACUUAAGCAUGAUUAAACUUUAGAAGAAGCUGCCAGGAAGACUGUGAAAUCUUCAUGCCCAAGGAUCCCUAAAAUUAGGAGCAACAACCACUUGGCUCAGACGGUUUAUGGAGGCAAAGGUUUGGAUGGGAUUAGAGAUUUCUAAAUGUGAGUUCGUGUCCUCUGCCAGACCACCUUACUUCCACCAUUCCUCAGCAAAUCAAGAAAAACAGGAGAAAAGACAUGCCUUUCCAUAAGUUAAAUCUAUUCUGUUUUAAUUCUAUAUUAUAUCUGCUGUACAACUUCUUUUGUUUGUAACACCAUAUUGUUGCUAGUAACUGGAAAUUAAUUUUCACAUGCCUCAGCUUAGAAAAAUAAAAAGCAGCCCUGCAUCAA
rnacentral:lncRNA from 1 species